rnacentral:rRNA from 1 species
UACGGGGGGGGGCAAGCGUUGUUCGGAAUUACUGGGCGUAAAGGGCUCGUAGGUGGCCAACUAAGUCAGACGUGAAAUCCCUCGGCUUAACCGGGGAACUGCGUCUGAUACUGGAUGGCUUGAGAUUGAGAGAGGGACGCGGAAUUCCAGGUGUAGCGGUGAAAUGCGUAGAUAUCUGGAGGAACACCGGUGGCGAAGGCGGCAUCCUGGACCAACACUGACACUGAGGAGCGAAAGCCAGGGGAGCAAACGGG